rnacentral:rRNA from 1 species
GACGAACGCUGGCGGCGUGCCUAACACAUGCAAGUCGAACGAGGUCCAUGAGAGCUUGCUCUCGGACGACCUAGUGGCGAACGGGUGAGUAACACGUGAGAAACCUGCCUCGGAGUGGGGAAUAACUCGGGGAAACUCGAGCUAAUACCGCAUACCUUCAGAUGAUCGCAUGGUCGACUGAAGAAAGAAUUUCGCUCUGAGAGGGUCUCGCGGCCUAUCAGCUAGUUGGUGGGGUAACGGCCUACCAAGGCAACGACGGGUAGCUGGAUUGAGAGAUCGAUCAGCCACACUGGGACUGAGACACGGCCCAGACUCCUACGGGAGGCAGCAGUGGGGAAUCUUGCGCAAUGGGCGAAAGCCUGACGCAGCAACGCCGCGUGCGGGAUGACGGCCUUCGUGGUUGUAAACCGCUUUCAGCAGGGACGAAAUUGACGGUACCUGCAGAAGAAGCCCCGGCUAACUACGUGCCAGCCGCCGCAGUAACAC